GGAAAACCGGAGUUCCCGGAGGAAACCCAUGAAGCACGGGGAGAACUUACAAACAUCACGCACACAGGGCAGAGGUGGGAUUCCAACCCUCAACCCUGGAGGAGCAAGGUCCGCUCCCUGAAGCAAAGCCUCUCCUCCUGACUUUCCGGAAGCUUCUGUACUGGACAGAGGAGACAUCUGCAACAUGUUCAGCACCAAAAGGUCAGGGUGACAUCACUGUUUUUGUGUUGUUUCUUGUGGACAUACGUGAACGCAAGAAGGAAAAUGUCACAAACCUCUCGGGCAGACCAUUUGGAAAGGCUAAUGCAGCAGAUUCCAAAGUGACAUUUGAGUCAUAGGCUUUAUUUUCAGAUAUGAUUCAGAUUUUGUGAGGAAAACGAAGACCGAGCUGAUUUCAGGUCAGAAAUGAGGCCUUUCCUCGACUGUCGAAGUAUCCGUAACUGCCUUACGUUAUGCUCGAGCAUUUCAUCCACAUUCGAACGUUCUGCAAACCAUGUUCUACUAUUAGUCACCAAUGAAUGAAUGAAUGAACGCCUUUUAUUGUCACUAUACAUAUGUACAAUGAAAUUAAGAGCCACUCCUUUUGGUUCCGUGCAAACAUAUACAUUCAAUACACAAGAAGAAUAAACAGAUAAAUAAACAAGAUAAAUAAACAAAAUAAAUAAACAAGAUAUACAAUAUAUGCAAGAUAGAUAUGCAAGAUAGAUAUUGGGGUGGAUGGGGGAGGUACUAUGAAAUGCACAGUUUUGAGACACUAUAUACAUAUGCUGUGGACUCAGUACAUGUGUUUGUUUAUGAUGGUAAUAGCUUUCGGGAAGAAACUAUUCUUAAAUCUAAUAGUCCUUGUUCAAGCGUAAGGUAAUUGUGAUGUGUUUACUCAAUGGCAACCUUUUUGAGUGUUACUGUCUAUACAUGACUCUCUCUAAAUCUUCAUGCUGUAACACCAUACUGUAAGGUCUGUUUACUGUGAGGAAAGACACGAACAGAUGGGUUCCUCAGGAAACAUACAUGUUCUAAUUGACAUAAAGGCUGACUGAACAUAACAACCUGUCCAUUCUAACAGCUGAACCUGAAACUUUUAAUAGCUGAACACAAAUCAGCAUCGUCAUCACUUAUAUACCAGCAACUGGGGUGCCUGAGACUGAAGUGUGUCUUCUAACAAAAUAACACCCGUUCAUUAAAAUUCUGACAAGCACAGGGAGGUAAUUAAACCUGUGGGGACGCGUCACGCUUGGCGAAAGCGGCGGUGGGAGGAUGCGGAUUUACACGAGGAAUCAAAUUGUAGUUUAGCAUAUAAUGUGCUCACAUGCCGCUCUAGUCCCGUAUUUCCCUCUUCUAUACGGAUGUUAGCGUGUUGCUCUUAAACGUCACGUUAAAGAUAUGUUCAGCUAUCGGGUCAGAUAAUCGAACAUGGUCACCUGCAGAAUUGUUGGUAGCCUUCGUGGAAAAAUGAGUAAUAAUAAAUAAAGGGGUGUAUUUUCAGGGUUCCUUUAACAAAAAGCACAAAAAAUCAGGGAUAGAAAAUGGGGACUGAAGAAGGAAAUUUUUUUUUUUUUUUUGGUUUGUCGUCGAAUACAAAGUAACUUAAGAUAAAGAAACUGUUCGAAAAUGAAAAGUAAAAAGACUUUUGUAUCAAGGACAUAAUGAAAUGUGGAAUAUUGGAAUAUAGGCUAUUUGAUCACAUUCGGGACAUAUGCGCACUCACUUAAAAUAAUUGUUAUUUUUUAUUAUUUUAUUAGAGAAGUACGUAUUUCUUUCAAGUUCAAACAUAUAGAUUUUUUUACAUUUGCACUUUUCACUCAGUUUGAGAUGAAUAUUUUUAAGUUCAAGACUGCACUACUGAAAAAGAACUAUUGGAACCUCAGGAAAGUCCUGAGUGGUGGUGGUGGUGGUGUUUAUUAUUAAUAUCGGCCUACAUCUUGUGCCCCACUUCACCAUGGAGCGUUACGGGAGCCGUCCCCUAAGCAAACAAACCGCACCUUACAUAAAAGCUCCUUCAAAAAACUUUAAUCAGAUCAACAGCCAACAACGCCCUGCCUUCGAUUAUAUCCGAACGAAGUCUGCAACUGAGACUGGACGUAAUAAAUCCCGAAACGCUCUGCCUACAGAACUCCUUUAGUGCCUCCUGUUUCCAUACACUGCGUUUUAUGACUGGACGGAAGGAUAUUUGUCACCCAGGUUAAUUGUUUAUGCUCAUGGACACUCCUUAAAAAGUUAAGAGCAGUGUUAAAUGAACUUUCCCUCUAAAUCUUCUCCCUGCGUAAAAAUAAGAGACGCUCAUUCUCUGGGGUUUGUAUAAUAACUGUGCUGGAGAUGAUAAGCUCAGCUUUAAUCAGACUCGAGAGUGUUUACAUCCCAAAAUGGCACAAAGUCCCUGCAGCCCCGAGUACUAAACUUAUUACUAACUCAUUAUCUUCUAUCCCCUCUGAAACUCAGACUGAGACUAUCUCUUGUUGUCUCCGAAAUCCAUCUCUGAGCUCACCUGCAGCGCCACGUGACCUGCUGGCUUCUCGCCUGGCUUAGUCAUAACGCGGCAGAGACGCAUGCUGGAUGUGCUCGUUACGCGUCCUCUGCCCUCAGCUCAAGCUAUUAUCUCAGCAGUGGAUGCUAGUUAUAACUAGCAUGAAGAGGAAAUGUCUAAGCUGAGCUAGCUCUGUGUGUGUGUCCGGUGAAAUCCGUGCUGUCUAGCUCGUGGAAGAGACUGUAACCAGAGAAGCAGUUACGAUAUUCGAGCAGCACUCGCUAGCUGCAGGCCGAGGGCGUGGGAAUUUAUCGGAUGCUACACAGAGCCGAAUUGUUCCAGACGAAAUGACGUACGUCGAUCAAUUCUGUAACCGCACAGCACUGAUUAACAGUGCUCAAAGUCUAUCCAUGGAGAUAUUUCUCUAGUAACACCUCAUUCACAGGGAUUUGCAGGACAUUAUGUAUUAUUGUAAGAAAGUGCUGCCACUGGAGACUCCUUCCAUAAAUGGUACCAUACCAGCAAAAUAUGGUGGGGAAAAAAAAAUUGUUGGAUGGCUAUCGAUACCGGUUGAUUCUCAAG
ensembl:lncRNA